GGUGGCUCAGUGGUAGAGCACUUGCCUUGCAUGCAUGAGGUCCUGAGUUCGAUUCCUCAGCACCA
rfam:Dipodomys ordii contig_56030, whole genome shotgun sequence.